UGGAGCUGGCUAAAAAGUUUGUUUGGGUUUUCCUGUAACAUGGUAUGGAAAAACCCAAAUGAACUUUUUGGCCUAGCCAA
rnacentral:miRNA from 1 species